rnacentral:tRNA from 1 species
UGGCAAAGUGGUUAAUGCACACGGCUCGUGAGCUGUGAGUCCCGGGUUCGAAUCCC